rnacentral:lncRNA from 1 species
UUCACUUAAAAUCAGAAAUUGAUUUGCUGGAAAUUCGUGCUCAUCUUUUGUGUUAACAGCAACCAACAAUGGAUUAGUGGAAAGAAUGGACAAGGCAGCCAAGCGCGGUGUGUUUCACGCGAGCCAAGAUGCAAUGGGUUGCCGACGUUUGAUGACGGCAAACUGUGCUGAGCGAGGCGAGGCAGGGUAGUCGGCGUUCGACCUUUGACAACAACAAAGUGUGCUCAGCUUAGGCGAGGCAUUCGGCGUUCGAUGAUGGCGACUGCAAGCCGAACAACGUUCAACGGUUAGGGAUUUAGGGUGGUUUCCGAUUUCAACCGCUUGUGAGUGGUGGAGGUGUGAGGUGUGA